CCUACGGGUGGCAGCAGUGGGGAAUAUUGGUCAAUGGCCGAGACGCUGAACCAGCCAAGUCGCGUGAGGGAAGACGGCCCUACGGGUUGUAAACCUCUUUUGUCGGGGAGCAAAGCGAGUCACGUGUGCCACAUUGAGAGUACCCGAAGAAAAAGCAUCGGCUAACUCCGUGCCAGCAGCCGCGGUAAUACGGGGGAUGCGAGGGUUAUCCGGAUUUAUUGGGGUAAAGGGGUGGGCAGGGGGAGGUGCAAGCCAGCGGGAAAAUUGCGGGGCUCAACCCCGUACUGCCGUUGAAACUGCAUCCCUUGAGUGCGCGAGAAGGAUGCGGAAUGCGUGGUGUAGCGGUGAAAUGCGUAGAUAUCACGAAGAACUCCGAUUGCGAAGGCAGUUCACUGGACUGCAACUGACACUGAGGCUCGAAAGUGUGGGUAUCAAACAGGAUUAGAUACCCUUGUAGUC
rnacentral:rRNA from 1 species